rnacentral:piRNA from 1 species
GCAGAGGCAGGUGAAUCUCUGGAGUCCAG